rnacentral:misc_RNA from 1 species
AAGUCGUAACAAGGUUUCCGUAGGUGAACCUGCGGAAGGAUCAUUAAAGAACGCCCCGUUUUUUCACAAACUGGGUUCAAUACCCCUACAGCUGUAUACCUUACCUUUGUUGCUUUGGCGGGUCCGCCUUGAGGCGUCGGCUCCGGCUAACUGCGCCCGCCAGAGGACCCAAAUCUCGUUUCGCUUAGUGAUGUCUGAGUACUAUAAAAUAUUUAAAAG